rnacentral:rRNA from 1 species
GAUGAACGCUGGCGGCGUGCCUAAUACAUGCAAGUCGAGCGAACAGACGAGGAGCUUGCUCCUCUGAGGGUAGCGACGGACGGGUGAGUAACACGUGGAUAACCAACCAAUAAGACUGGGAGAACCUCGGGAAACCGGAGAUAAUACCGGAUAAUAUAUUGAACCGGAGGGUGCAAUAGUGAAGGACGGUUUUGCUGUUACGGUAAGAGGGUACCGAGCCGCCGUAGCUAGUUGGUAAGGUAAUGGCUUACCGAGGCGACGAUGCGUAGCCGAGCUGAAGGGGUGAUCGGCCACACGGGCACUGAGACACGGUCCCGACUCCUACGCGGGGCAGCAGUCGGGACUCCUCCGCGAUGGGCGAAAGCCUGACGUAGCAACACCGCCUGAGUGAUGAAGGUCUUCUGCUCGUAAAGCUCUGUUGUUCGGAAAGAACAAAUGCGUAGUUACCUGUGCACGUCUUGACGGUACCUAAUGAAUAAGCCCCGGCUAACUCCGUG